CUGAUGUCUCUCUUGCCUCAGCUUUGCUUUGGAAUCUACCCAGCUUUACCGUUGAUGUCCAAUAUGCACAAAACUUAUGGAAUCUGAGAAAUUUUCAAUGGAGGAUGGACAGCAGAAGCAGAUGGUCUCGCUAUCUGAUGAGGAAUUCAGAAAAAAA